rnacentral:rRNA from 1 species
CUACGGGAGGCAGCAGUGGGGAAUUGUUCGCAAUGGGCGCAAGCCUGACGACGCAACGCCGCGUGGAGGAUGAAGAUCUUCGGGUCGUAAACUCCUUUCGAUCGGGAAAAACGGCUUUCGGGUAAACACCCCGGGAGAGUGAUGGUACCGAGAGAAGAAGCCCCGGCUAACUCCGUGCCAGCAGCCGCGGUAAUACGGGGGGGGCAAGCGUUGUUCGGAAUUACUGGGCGUAAAGGGCUCGUAGGCGGCCAACUAAGUCCGACGUGAAAUCCCCAGGCUUAACUUGGGAACUGCGUCGGAUACUGGAUGGCUUGAAUCCGGGAGAGGGAUGCGGAAUUCCAGGUGUAGCGGUGAAAUGCGUAGAUAUCUGGAGGAACACCGGUGGCGAAGGCGGCAUCCUGGACCGGCAUUGACGCUGAUGAGCGAAAGCCAGGGGAGCAAACGGGAUUAGAUACCCCGGU